AUAAACCAUGCCAGGCCCUGCGCCAUUGCCCAUAUGUGAAAUCAAUACCUGGUUCCAAACUAGCCCCGUCCAAACUACCAGCGCCUUCGUGUUUCACAUCCCCGUAAUCUGCCUCCUGAACUCUGCGAGACUCGCCGUGAAAUAAAUCGGCUAUCAGGAAGACGAAUUGCGCAGCUCCGGCCUGAACAGAUGAAGACAGCUCUCCGGCUGUGGGCGCAGUACACAGGAUCCUCGCGGAGACGAGACUUGAGAAACUCCAAUGCUCUGACCGGCCGCUCUGUGAUUCCUCCCCAGUGGGAAUCUGAGAGGGGACGGACGGGACAGGAGGUAAAAUCAAGCUGCUUCCUAAUAGAGCUCUGGAGCAAAUCACCCCCUGAAACUACAUGUGACAUAUAUAAUGUACAUAUCAUGUGCUCCAGCUGUCAUUGUGUUCCUCAUAUGUCAAACCUGAUCCGUUUCUCCUAAUGCUGAUCUACGUUUGUUUUUAUUUACAUGGAAAGUGGUGUUUUCUGGUGUGUAGAUUAAACUAUUAUGAUUAUUGUUGCUAUUAAUGUUGUUAUGUGUAAUAAUAUUGCAGAUCUGUGUUAGUGCGAGUGAACUGAAACGUGAUUUUUUAUGCCUUUAUCUCAUUAAUAUGCAAACUUAAAAUCUGUAAAAAGUUGAAAGAGUUGCAUCUUCAGAAUCACAUACUGUUAAAAAUGAUAGAAAUUGCAUUUUUAUAUCUUUAAAUGAAGGAAACUCAAUCUUCCUGUUUGUAUUUUCCCAAAUUCACUUCAUAAGCCCAAGUUUGGAUUUGACUGGUCGUCGAUUAAAUCAAAACAAAGACACACUCACUCAACUCUGCAUAAUUUCAAAUCAACACCUCGGCAUUAAUGGGCCCCGCUGCAGGACUGCGUGUGAUAAUGUUUGCGGAGGAGCUGCCGAGUUCAGCUGUUGCUUUACUUUAACAGUGCACAGAAUGCCCUCAGUGUUCACUUUGAAGAAAAAGUGUCCAUCAGAUGGCCGACACUCUGAGGAAUAGUUAAGCUUACACAUGUGGAAAAAAAACAAAAAACUUGGAAUGUGCUGUCUCCACUUGGCAAGAUGUCACAGUUCUGCUCCGUACAUUUGUCGUGACCCCAAUUCUGUCUGCUGCUUUCCUUUCCAUGCAUCCUCUGCUGCUGCCGCUGCCGCUGCCGCUGCUGCUGGCAGCUCGAGCUGGGACAGACACCAAGCUGAGGUCUGACCCCUGCUGACAGAAAUGAGGCUCUCGCUCGUGUUGCAGACAGAACGGUUCGGAGUGAAAUGUCACCAGAGGAUCUCCGCGGCGUUUGAUCUGCGUGGUCACGAGGAACUAAGUAACUGACGAAAGCUUGAUUGGAGCGAUAACUAGCUCUGGCAGCCGUCUGACGAGUCAACGUCUCCUGUAGCGUUCUGCAGCGGCGAUGAGCUUCUGAGAGAAGAUUAGACUGAACCCAAAAGUGAAGGAGGAUCUAAUGAGCAAAAAAUAAGAGCAGAUCCCAAACAGAUGCUCUGGUAGGAAGGCACACGGCCACGGCUAUUUUGAAUUCAUUAUUUAUUUCCCCUUACCCCCCUCUAAUGCUCGGAAAUGUGUAUUUGGCCCAGCUGUCAUCGAGCGUGGCGCUGCUGAUAGGGGAUUUGUCGUGUGUUUACCCAGACGCAAGCGGCUCAAUGGUUGCAAGGGUCCGUUGUCUCAUGCAAACCCCAUCAUUGGGUUAAAGCAUUUGAAGAGCAAUAAUAUUUUGAUGUGGCGAGCUGCUUAGGAUCUGAAACUUUGACGUGCAGAACGAGGGGCUGUGGUUGUGGUUUGAUUCAUGCGUCCUUCUCGCCGGAGGGUGGACACAAAACGUCUUGGGCCUGAACCCAAUAGCCUCUAAUCAGUGGGAGCAAUGCAUCACAAGUGCAGAAGAACACACAAAGACCUGCAGUGUAGUCGCAUAAAACACAAGAGGUUCAAUAAGAAACCCGACAGAACUCAUUUCUUUAAAUAUAUACCAUCGUCGUGAGCAGUUGUCGACUGACACGAUAUUUCAGGCUGGAAAUUUGACUCCGAUCCUCGGUCGCCGUGUUCACGCAAAACCACCAGACCGCUGAUUUUGUUUUAGGCUAAACCCUAUUUGUUGUAACAGAUACGAAGAGAGUCAUACUAUGUUGAUCUGGGAGGUAGAAGAAGAAAACAAGAAACCAAUCUGAAUACUGAUUUUUCUAUGUAUUUUCAGGCUGUGAAUCGAUAAAAACUCAGUAGGAGUCUGUACUCAGGGAAAAGUACCACAUGUACUUUUCUACUUGAGUAAAAGCAAGUGCAUGCUUUUACAGGUUUAGUGUUAUAUUUUCUUAUUGGAUCUUCCUGGACCAGUUCCCCUCUCGUUAUUUAAAUUACUUUUAAAAAUAUAAAAAACUCGAAAGUACAGAUAUUUGCUGAUACAUGUCCUGGAGUCACCUGCAAAUAAAUCUACUUAACUAAAGUACAGUUACAUGAACAAUUUACUUAAGUACAGUAAUAAAGCAAAAGUACUUCCCACCACUGAAUGUGAGGAAGUCAAAAGGGUCAGAUUACAAAGUUCUCUUAUUGAUUUCCAUAAAGCAAACUAAAGCACUAAAAUUUAAAUGAUAAAACUUUUACAGUGCCAUUUGUGUCAUAAAUUCUCACAUGGUCUCAUUCGCACUUUCUCCAGGAGGCUGGAGGAGGAAAAGUUCCAGAAAGUUUCCAGAGCAACUGACUCUGACUCUUGCCUUCUCACAUGUAGAGCCCUUGUUGGUCUCUCAUGUUCUCUGAUGGGCACGUUUCCAGCCCUGCAUGCCUCCUUUUGACAAAUGCACUGUCGAUGGCUGAAGGUUUUGCGAUUUGCACGACGUACCGACAUGAAGUCGGUGACUGCGUUGUCUGUCAGCCAUUUUCUGUUUGAGCCUGUUUGAGCCUUUUCUGUGGCACUGAACAAAUCUAAAUCCUUCGACUGAGGAUCGGCAGGAGUUAGAUAACCUAAACUUAAAUGUAUGCUACUUGAGCAGUAAUACACGGUAUGUCCUGCUGAUAAUAUAUAAAUAAAUGUUUUGUUUGCACAUGCAGUACUGACACUGAACAAUGGGGGGAGCAUUAGUGUGCAGGUGAUGAGAAGCAGGUGAGUGUGAAAGGGGAACGAGCUGCUUUUGCCUGAAUGGAAACGUCACGGUGCCUGAAUAUGGAUGUGUUGCUACGUUGCACAGCUGGAAUAAUAACUAAGUGUUGUGCAUUUCAAACAGAUGCUGGAAGUUGCUACACUGGAAUGCUAAAUGAAAUCAUGGAAAACAGUUUCCUUCUGCAAGGUACCUUCACGUCCCUCCUCUCCUUCAUCACGUUAAUGUCUCAUCAAUGCUUAUUACUCACUGGACUUCUUUCUCCAGUGUCUUUGUGUUUUGUUGCUGCAGAUCCGGGAUCGUGGUAGCGGCCACGUCGGAGAUCGUGGUGGCAGCUGAUCGUGGAUUAUGAUUACAACUAGAUUGCUUAGAUUCACAAUAUUCCUACUCACAUAUACUAUAAUUAUUGGCAAUACUAAUGAGGAUUAAUAAUAAUAACUAAUAGUUUUCCCUCACUCUUACUGAGGAUUAAGAAGAGAGGAUGUCGCCUUUUCUUAAGCCCUGCGAGACUAAUUGUGAUUUUUGAAUACAAAUGAAAUUUGAUUGAUUGAUUGAUUGAAGUAAAACCUUUACUAAAUCAAUAUAUAUCAUUUUUGUAUAACAUGAUCAUGAAGACAAUAUCUAACCUUGCUGGAUACCUUCAUCAGUGUGAUGAAUUUGGAUUUCUUUAUCCGGAAUAUAAGUGGAAGAAAUGAUCGAUCAGCCAGAACACAAAACCAGUUCCUGCGAAGCCGUUUGCAUUCGACUGAUCUUCGGGCCAAAUAUGAAGUGAACCACUGAUUGUGAACCACGGAAACAACUGGCAUUCAUUAAUGUGAAGGAGAGCGAACUGUCCCUGGAAAGAUAAAUGAACGAGGGACCGAGUGAAGUCUGAGUGUGAGCUGCGUCUUUCAGCACGGGCUCUGGCUCUCUGCUGGGACACCAGCGAGUGGAUGCUGCCGCUGGAAGCUGAAGAAACAACGAGCAGCCGAGCAGAUGAUGACUGAGUGUUGGGCUUUGAUCUGCCGACGCACGUUCGGUCUGCCUUUUGUCUCCUCGCACAUAAACUUUCAUUUUAAAACCAAUGCAAAUGACUCAAAGUGCCGGACAAACACCUUGAUGAUCCCAAAACCUGGACCGGGUUCAACGAGGAUGUCUGCGUUUUCGAUAAUAAAACUAAUAUUCUGAUUCACCGUACGAAGGACUUUCAUUAUUAAAGUUCAGCAGUUCAGAGUUCAAUGAGGCUGCGUCGCUUCUCUUGUGUUUUCACUUUAAAACGUAAAAAAAUCAUCGUCCAGAUGAGAAUUUUGACUUGAUAUGUAACCUC